UACGUAGGGUGCGAGCGUUAAUCGGAGUUACUGGGCGUAAAGCGUGCGCAGGCGGUUCGUUAUGUCCGAUGUGAAAGCCCCGAGCUCAACUUGGGAAUGGCAUUGGAAACUGGCGGGCUGGAGUGUGGCAGAGGGGGGUGGAAUUCCACGUGUAGCAGUGAAAUGCGUAGAGAUGUGGAGGAACACCGAUGGCGAAGGCAGCCCCCUGGGCCAACACUGACGCUCAGGCACGAAAGCGUGGGGAGCAAACAGG
rnacentral:rRNA from 1 species